UUUAACUGAAGAGUUUGAUCAUGGCUCAGAUUGAACGCUGGCGGCAGGCUUAACACAUGCAAGUC
rnacentral:rRNA from 1 species